GGAGAGAGGUAGAGAGUUAGUGAGGGAGAGAGGUAGUGAGGGAGAGAGGUAGUGAGGGAGAGAGGCAGAGAGGUAGUGAGGGAGAGAGGUAGUGAGGGAGAGAGGUAGUGAGGGAGAGAGUUAGUGAGGUAGUGAGGGAGAGAGGUAGUGAGGGAGUGAGGUAGUGAGUUAGAGAGGUAGUGAGGUAGUGAGGGAGAGAGGUAGUGAGGGAGAGAGGUAGUGAGGGAGAGAGGUAGAGAGGUAGAGAGGUAGUGAGGCAGAGAGGUAGUGAGGGAGAGAGGUAGUGAGGGAGAGAGGUAGUGAGGGAGAGAGGUAGAGAGGUAGUGAGGGAGAGAGGUAGUGAGGCAGAGAGGUAGUGAGGGAGAGAGGUAGAGAGGUAGUGAGGGAGAGAGGUAGUGAGGGAGAGAGGGAGAGAGGUAGUGAGGGAGAGAGGUAGAGAGGUAGUGAGGGAGAGAGGUAGAGAGGUAGUGAGGGAGUGAGGUAGUGAGGGAGAGAGGUAGAGAGGGAGAGAGGUAGUGAGGGAGAGAGGUAGUGAGGGAGAGAGGUAGAGAGGGAGAGAGGUAGUGAGGGAGAGAGGUAGAGAGGUAGUGAGGGAGAGAGGUAGUGAGGGAGAGCGGUAGAGAGGCAGAGAGGUAGUGAGGGAGUAAGGUAGUGAGGUAGAGAGGCAGAGAGGUAGUGAGGGAGAGAGGUAGAGAGGGAGAGAGGUAGUGAGGGAGAGAGGUAGAGAGGUAGUGAGGGAGAGAGGUAGUGAGGGAGAGCGGUAGAGAGCAGAGAGGUAGUGAGGGAGUGAGGUAGAGAGGUAGUGAGGGAGUGAGGUAGUGAGGGAGAGCAGUAGAGAGGCAGAGAGGUAGUGAGGGAGUGAGGUAGAGAGGUAGUGAGGGAGCGAGGUAGUGAGGGAGAGAGGUAGUAUAUUCAGUUAUUCUUGUCUUCAUAUAACUACAGCAUGUAGGUUCCUGCAGAAACAACAUUACAGAGAGAGAAGGGGAGAUUAGCCCUACACCCUAGCCUCUAGCUUUUAUAUACUUCCCCUAUGCCCUACACCCUAGCCCCUAGCUUUUAUAUACACCCUAGUCACACCUUU
rnacentral:lncRNA from 1 species